rnacentral:rRNA from 1 species
GAAACACGGACCAAGGAGUCUAGCAUGUGCGCGAGUCAUUGGGAAUAACUAAACCUAAAGGCGCAAUGAAAGUGAAGGUUCGUCUCGCGCGAACCGAGGGAAGAUGGGCGUGCCGUGUUCACCGCGGCCGCCCCGCACUCCCGGGGCGUCUCGUUCUCAUCGCGAGAAGAGGCGCACCAAGAGCGUACACGCUGGGACCCGAAAGAUGGUGAACUAUGCCUGGUCAGGACGAAGUCAGGGGAAACCCUGAUGGAGGUCCGUAGCGAUUCUGACGUGCAAAUCGAUCGUCGGAACUGGGUAUAGGGGCGAAAGACUAAUCGAACCAUCUAGUAGCUGGUUCCCUCCGAAGUUUCCCUCAGGAUAGCUGGCGCUCGUAGCAUACGAGUCUCAUCCGGUAAAGCGAAUGAUUAGAGGCAUUGGGGUCGAAACGGCCUCAACCUAUUCUCAAACUUUAAAUGGGUGAGAUCUCCGGCUUGCUCGAACUACUGAAGCCGCGAGACACGGAUCAGAGUGCCAAGUGGGCCAUUUUUGGUAAGCAGAACUGGCGCUGUGGGAUGAACCAAACGCCGAGUUAAAGCGCCUAAAUCGACGCUUAUGGGAUACCAUGAAAGGCGUUGGUAACUUAAGACAGCAGGACGGUGGCCAUGGAAGUCGGAAUCCG